UAAAGGAGGAAUAUCCUAGGAGUAAUGGAUAUGGUGCUCCAGGUGCCUACUUCAGAGAAGAAAAAAUUACAGGUCACAGCAGUGCAUCUGCUGGCUAUCUGCUACCAUCGGUUCUGGAGGUGCUAGCAAUGGCAUUGUAAGGGUCUGUCAGAAAUCUUAUCUGCAUGUCCGCUCCCAGGAGUGAGAAGCUGGAAUGAGCUCCUGAAGGACAAUUACACAAAUGACCCUUCUACCAGAUGAUGAUGACCCUGGUGCAAAUCACCUAAAUGAAACUGCAACAGUAAAAUAACACUAAAAUUAAACUCAGAAAAUGAAUUCCAAACCAAAAACAGAGU